CAGUAGCCGCGGGAAAACGUAGGGUGCGAGCGUUAAUCGGAAUUACUGGGCGUAAAGCGUGCGCAGGCGGUUUUGUAAGGCAGGCGUGAAAUCCCCGGGCUCAACCUGGGAAUGGCGCUUGUGACUGCAAAGCUAGAGUGCGGCAGAGGGGGAUGGAAUUCCGCGUGUAGCAGUGAAAUGCGUAGAUAUGCGGAGGAACACCGAUGGCGAAGGCAAUCCCCUGGGCCUGCACUGACGCUCAUGCACGAAAGCGUGGGGAGCAAACAGGAUUAGAUACCCCAGUAGUCCCUGUCUCUUAUAC
rnacentral:rRNA from 1 species